CGGGAGGCAGCAGUGAGGAAUAUUGGUCAAUGGGCGCAAGCCUGAACCAGCCACGUCGCGUGAAGGAAGACGGCCCUACGGGUUGUAAACUUCUUUUGCAAGGGAAUAAAGUUGGCCACGCGUGGCCUUUUGCAUGUACCUUGCGAAUAAGGAUCGGCUAACUCCGUGCCAGCAGCCGCGGUAAUACGGAGGAUCCGAGCGUUAUCCGGAUUUAUUGGGUUUAAAGGGUGCUCAGGCGGGGGAUUAAGUCGGCGGUGAAAUUUUGCGGCUCAACCGUAAAAGUGCCUUCGAAACUGGUUUCCUUGAGUGUGGAUGAGGUAGGCGGAAUUUGUGGUGUAGCGGUGAAAUGCAUAGAUAUCACGAGGAACUCCGAUUGCGCAGGCAGCUUACUAAGCCAUAACUGACGCUCAAGCACGAAGGCGUGGGGAUCAAACAGGAUUAGAUACCCUGGUAGUCCACGCAGUAAACGAUGAUUACUGGCUGUUUGCGAUAUAAUGUAAGCGGCUGAGCGAAAGCG
rnacentral:rRNA from 1 species